rnacentral:rRNA from 1 species
GACAGAGGGUGCAAACGUUGUUCGGAAUUACUGGGCGUAAAGCGCAUGUAGGCGGCAGCGCAAGUCGGGCGUGAAAUCCCACGGCUCAACCGUGGAAGUGCACUCGAAACUGCGCAGCUAGAGUCCUGGAGAGGAAGGUGGAAUGCUUGGUGUAGAGGUGAAAUUCGUAGAUAUCAAGCGGAACACCGGUGGCGAAGGCGGCCUUACUGGGACAGUGACGUAGCACGCUGAGAUGCGAAAGCG